rnacentral:rRNA from 1 species
UAGGGAAUAUUAGUAAUGGGCGAAAGCCUGAACUAGCAACGCCGCGUGUGCGUAGAAGGCCUUCGGGUCGUAAAGCACUUUUUGAGAGGAUGAGGAAGGACGGUACUCUCAGAAUAAGUCUCGGCUAACUACGUGCCAGCAGCCGCGGUAACACGUAGGAGGCAAACGUUAUCCGGAUUUACUGGGCGUAAAGCGCGUGUAGGUGGUUUGGUAAGUAGGGCGUGAAAGCUCCUGGCUCAACUGGGAGAGGACGUUCUAAACUGCCAAGCUUGAGGAUGGUAGAGGGGGGUGGAAUUCCGGGUGUGGCGGUGGGAUGCGCAGAUAUCCGGGGGAGCACCAGUGGCGAAGGCGGCCUCCUGGACCACUACUGACACUCAGACGCGAAAG